UAGGGAAUAUUGCAAAAUGGGCGAAAGCCCGAUGCAGCAACGCCGCGUGGGCGAUGAAGGCCUUCGGGUCGUAAAGCCCUUUUUGAGGGGAUGAGGAAGGACAGUACCCUCAGAAUAAGCCUUGGCUAACUACGUGCCAGCAGCCGCGGUAAAACGUAGGAGGCGAGCGUUAUCCGGGUUUACUGGGCGUAAAGCGCGUGCAGGCGGAUUGGAGAGUUGGAUGUGAAAGCUCCCGGCUUAACUGGGAGAGGUCGUUCAAUACUUCCAGUCUUGAGUGCAGUAGAGGGAAGUGGAAUUCCGGGUGUAGUGGUGAAAUGCGUAGAUAUCCGGAGGAACACCAGUGGCGAAAGCGGCUUCCUGGACUGUAACUGACGCUCAGACGCGAAAGCUAGGGUAGCAAACG
rnacentral:rRNA from 1 species